AGAGUUUGAUCAUGGCUCAGAUUGAACGCUGGCGGCAGGCCUAACACAUGCAAGUCGAACGGUAACAGGAAGAAGCUUGCUUCUUUGCUGACGAGUGGCGGACGGGUGAGUAAUGUCUGGGAAACUGCCUGAUGGAGGGGGAUAACUACUGGAAACGGUAGCUAAUACCGCAUAACGUCGCAAGACCAAAGAGGGGGACCUUCGGGCCUCUUGCCAUCGGAUGUGCCCAGAUGGGAUUAGCUAGUAGGUGGGGUAACGUCUCACCUAGGCGACGAUCCCUAGCUGGUCUGAGAGGAUGACCAGCCACACUGGAACUGAGACACGGUCCAGACUCCUACGGGAGGCAGCAGUGGGGAAUAUUGCACAAUGGGCGCAAGCCUGAUGCAGCCAUGCCGCGUGUAUGAAGAAGGCCUUCGGGUUGUAAAGUACUUUCAGCGGGGAGGAAGGGAGUAAAGUUAAUACCUUUGCUCAUUGACGUUACCCGCAGAAGAAGCACCGGCUAACUCCGUGCCAGCAGCCGCGGUAAUACGGAGGGUGCAAGCGUUAAUCGGAAUUACUGGGCGUAAAGCGCACGCAGGCGGUUUGUUAAGUCAGAUGUGAAAUCCCCGGGCUCAACCUGGGAACUGCAUCUGAUACUGGCAAGCUUGAGUCUCGUAGAGGGGGGUAGAAUUCCAGGUGUAGCGGUGAAAUGCGUAGAGAUCUGGAGGAGUACCGGUGGCGAAGGCGGCCCCCUGGACGAAGACUGACGCUCAGGUGCGAAAGCGUGGGGAGCAGACAGGAUUAGAUACCCUGGUAGUCCACGCCGUAAACGAUGUCGACUUGGAGGUUGUGCCCUUGAGGCGUGGCUUCCGGAGCUAACGCGUUAAGUCGACCGCCUGGGGAGUACGGCCGCAAGGUUAAAACUCAAAUGAAUUGACGGGGGCCCGCACAAGCGGUGGAGCAUGUGGUUUAAUUCGAUGCAACGCGAAGAACCUUACCUGGUCUUGACAUCCACAGAACUUUCCAGAGAUGGAUUGGUGCCUUCGGGAACUGUGAGACAGGUGCUGCAUGGCUGUCGUCAGCUCGUGUUGUGAAAUGUUGGGUUAAGUCCCGCAACGAGCGCAACCCUUAUCUUUUGUUGCCAGCGGUCCGGCCGGGAACUCAAAGGAGACUGCCAGUGAUAAACUGGAGGAAGGUGGGGAUGACGUCAAGUCAUCAUGGCCCUUACGACCAGGGCUACACACGUGCUACAAUGGCGCAUACAAAGAGAAGCGACCUCGCGAGAGCAAGCGGACCUCAUAAAGUGCGUCGUAGUCCGGAUUGGAGUCUGCAACUCGACUCCAUGAAGUCGGAAUCGCUAGUAAUCGUGGAUCAGAAUGCCACGGUGAAUACGUUCCCGGGCCUUGUACACACCGCCCGUCACACCAUGGGAGUGGGUUGCAAAAGAAGUAGGUAGCUUAACCUUCGGGAGGGCGCUUACCACUUUGUGAUUCAUGACUGGGGUGAAGUCGUAACAAGGUAACCGUAGGGGAACCUGCGGUUG
rnacentral:rRNA from 1 species